AAAAGGUGGCUAUGCUACCGCUUUUGGAUGGGCCCGCGGUGCAUUAGCUAGUUGGUAGGGUAAAGGCUUACCAAGGCAAUGAUGCGUAGCCGAAUUGAGAGGUUGAUCGGCCACAUUGGGACUGAGACACGGCCCAAACUCCUACGGGAGGCAGCAGUAGGGAAUCUUCCACAAUGGGCGAAAGCCUGAUGGAGCAACGCCGCGUGGGUGAAGAAGGUCUUCGGAUCGUAAAACCCUGUUGUUAGAGAAGAAAGUGCGUGAGAGUAACUGUUCACGUUUCGACGGUAUCUAACCAGAAAGCCACGGCUAACUACGUGCCAGCAGCCGCGGUAAUACGUAGGUGGCAAGCGUUAUCCGGAUUUAUUGGGCGUAAAGGGAACGCAGGCGGUCUUUUAAGUCUGAUGUGAAAGCCUUCGGCUUAACCGGAGUAGUGCAUUGGAAACUGGGAGACUUGAGUGCAGAAGAGGAGAGUGGAACUCCAUGUGUAGCGGUGAAAUGCGUAGAUAUAUGGAAGAACACCAGUGGCGAAAGCGGCUCUCUGGUCUGUAACUGACGCUGAGGUUCGAAAGCGUGGGUAGCAAACAGGAUUAGAUACCCUGGUAGUCCACGCCGUAAACGAUGAAUGCUAAGUGUUGGAGGGUUUCCGCCCUUCA
rnacentral:rRNA from 1 species